GAGUUUGAUCAUGGCUCAGAUUGAACGCUGGCGGCAUGCCUUACACAUGCAAGUCGAACGGCAGCACGGGAGCUUGCUCCUGGUGGCGAGUGGCGAACGGGUGAGUAAUGCAUCGGAACGUAUCCUGGAGUGGGGGAUAACGUAGCGAAAGUUACGCUAAUACCGCAUAUUCUGUGAGCAGGAAAGCGGGGGACCUUCGGGCCUCGCGCUCUUGGAGCGGCCGAUGUCGGAUUAGCUAGUUGGUGAGGUAAAGGCUCACCAAGGCGACGAUCCGUAGCAGGUCUGAGAGGAUGAUCUGCCACACUGGAACUGAGACACGGUCCAGACUCCUACGGGAGGCAGCAGUGGGGAAUUUUGGGACAAUGGGGGCAACCCUGAUCCAGCCAUGCCGCGUGAGUGAAGAAGGCC
rnacentral:rRNA from 1 species